AGAGAACGCUGGCGGUAGGCCUAACACAUGCAAGUCGAACGGCAGCACAGUAAGAGCUUGCUCUUACGGGUGGCGAGUGGCGGACGGGUGAGGAAUACAUCGGAAUCUACUUUUUCGUGGGGGAUAACGUGGGGAAACUUACGCUAAUACCGCAUACGACCUACGGGUGAAAGCAGGGGAUCUUCGGACCUUGCGCGAUUGAAUGAGCCGAUGUCGGAUUAGCUAGUUGGCGGGGUAAAGGCCCACCAAGGCGACGAUCCGUAGCUGGUCUGAGAGGAUGAUCAGCCACACUGGAACUGAGACACGGUCCAGACUCCUACGGGAGGCAGCAGUGGGGAAUAUUGGACAAUGGGCGCAAGCCUGAUCCAGCCAUACCGCGUGGGUGAAGAAGGCCUUCGGGUUGUAAAGCCCUUUUGUUGGGAAAGAAAAGCAGCAGGUUAAUACCCCGCUGUUCUGACGGUACCCAAAGAAUAAGCACCGGCUAACUUCGUG
rnacentral:rRNA from 1 species